rnacentral:rRNA from 1 species
CGGAGGUGGCAAGCGUUGUUCGGAAUUACUGGGCGUAAAGGGCGCGUAGGCGGCUAGGCAAGUCAGGUGUGAAAGCCCCGGGCUUAACCCGGGAAUUGCAUCUGAAACUGCUGUGCUUGAGUUCUGGAGGGGGUAGUGGAAUUCCCAGUGUAGCGGUGAAAUGCGUAGAUAUUGGGAGGAACACCUGCGGCGAAGGCGGCUACCUGGACAGAAACUGACGCUGAGGCGCGAAAGCUAGGGGGAGCGAACGGGAUUAGAUACCCCGGUAGUCCUAGCUGUAAACGAUGGGCACUUGGUGUUGGGGGUACUGAGUCCCCCAGUGCCGGAGUUAACACGUUAAGUGCCCCGCCUGGGGAGUACGGUCGCAAGACUG